GUUUCAUUUCAUCUUCCUUAGGCUAUUUCUUGUCACUACGCAGCAUCCGACUGUUUUUACAUUAAUGUAAAAGGAACAACUCAAGAAAACGUAGAACAAGUGUUGACAAAAGUUUAUAUCAAGAAAUUUGGACUGGAUCCAACCAUUACACUUAAGGAUACUUGGGCAUGGAAGGGUCGUGUUGUGCAGGGAGAAAAGAUGUCACUGUGAAGAGUGAGCAAGAUGAAAUGAAGUGCUGAGAACUAAUAAUAUAUAGUUUUAACCUGAGAUAUGUUUUAAUUAUUUAUACAUUUUUUGUUGCCCUUAAACAAGGAAUACUAAUUGAUGUAACUUCACAAACUACAAUGAAUAUAUUCAAAUUAUUAGUGAAGAACGUUAUGUUUUUUUAUAAAAAUGUCUGCAUUCUAAAAUCAAAGGGAAUUUUCAGAUAAAGCAAGUUUUUAUUUUAUUUUGCAUCCUUGAACUUCUGCUUCUGCGCAGCAACCAAUGUGGAAGGGUCCACGUGCUACCCUUAAUUUCUCCCUUUACACUUUCAAUGGAAUUGUUUAGUCAAUAUAUUUAGAAACCGUUAAAACUUAAAAAAAAAAACUGGAAAGCAGAAUUAUUAAAUCUGCACCAAAACUGCCUGUGCAUUUCUUUUCAUGAUCUUCUCUGUAAGACUCAUAGUAAAGGAACUACUGAUAAUGUGCAUACUGCAGGGAAGCUAUACAACGGUACUUUCAAAUGUAUAAAUACAAUGCUGAUACUUGCUUCUGAUAAAGAAAUCAUUCUUUUUUCUUCUAUUUUUAGGUUUUAAAGGUGAUUUGAUACUGUUCAUCUCUGUUUUCUGAAACUGAAAGACAUGUUGUCCAUAGUUACAAAUGAAAAAAAUACUGUAAACCUAAAUGAUGCCUUCAAAUUUGAUAAUAUAAAUGAAAAUAUUUUAUUAAAUCUUUUGGCCAUAUGCAA